UACGGAGGGUGCAAGCGUUAUCCGGAUUUACUGGGUUUAAAGGGUGCGUAGGUGGGUGGAUAAGUCAGCGGUGAAAUCUCCGGGCUUAACUCGGAAACUGCCGUUGAUACUAUCUGUCUUGAAUAUCCUGGAGGUGAGCGGAAUAUGUCAUGUAGCGGUGAAAUGCUUAGAUAUGACAUAGAACACCCAUUGCGAAGGCAGCUCACUACGGGAUUACUGACACUGAGGCACGAAAGCGUGGGGAUCAAACAGG
rnacentral:rRNA from 1 species